rnacentral:piRNA from 1 species
UGAUUUGGUUGAAUCUGUUAUGGAGA